ACUUUUGAAAGAUAACAGUAAUCUAUUGGUCUUAGGAACCAAAAACUCUUGGUGCAAAUCCUAGCAAAAGCUC
rnacentral:tRNA from 1 species